rnacentral:rRNA from 1 species
AUUGGAUUGAGAACAAUGUACAACUCUUAUCGAUAAGCCAUUGGAGGGCAAGUCUGGUGCCAGCAGCCGCGGUAAUUCCAGCUCCAAUAGCGUAUAUUAACGUUGUUGCAGUUAAAAAGCUCGUAGUUGAAGUGUGGGUGGUGCUGUCUGAAUGACUUCGGUUAGUCAGAUGAUCACUACCCCCUUCCAGUAUCCAGUAGUGGGUAUUCAGUUACUUACUAUUGUGUGUUGGUCCUUUACUGUGAGAAAAUUAGAGUGUUCAAAGCAGGCGUUUGCUUGAAUAGAUUAGCAUGGAAUAAUAAUUGAAGGCUUUCGUGUUCGAUUUGAUUGGUUUGUUCAUGGAAGCAAGGUUAAAAGGAACAGUUGGGGGUAUUCAUAUUCACUAGUUAGAGGUGAAAUUCUCGGAUUUAUGGAAGAUGAACAAGUGCGAAAGCAA